rnacentral:lncRNA from 1 species
AAUCUGUAUUUUUAAAUUCUCCAGCUCAGUUAACAGUGACAAAUAGCAAUCCAGCAAUCCAGCACAGAAGGUAUGCCACAAGCGCAAAGGGAAGACACUUGGGACACUGAUACCAGGUCAGAAAGCAUGUAUCCAGUGCUAGUCUGUACACUGCCUUAUGGAAAACCUACAGAUCAGCUGCAGUGGACUGCGACUUCGACGAUACUGAGACUAUGCUGGUUCUUGGAUUUGAGAAGACCAGAGCUAGAGCUGAGGGAGGAGGGACAGCUUGUCCAUGCAUUCUUUUCCCUGCAACUCCAUAUCAACCUGCAUUGUGAACUGAGAGGAUGGGAAUGGAGAGAACACAGUCAACAUGUUAGUCCCAGAACUACUGCUGCUCUGCAGAGGCUUGUUGUGCUGACCAGAAGGAAAGGCCUGGUUUGGCCUUGUGCCAGCAUGAAGGAGCAGCCAGUGUACAAGUCAAAAGAGGAGAAAACCACUUCGUUCUCUAAUGCAAUGGCAGAUACGCACUGUCCACCUGCAUUUGAGUAA